AGAGCGAACGCUGGCGGCAGGCUUAACACAUGCAAGUCGAGCGGGCGUAGCAAUACGUCAGCGGCAGACGGGUGAGUAACGCGUGGGAACAUACCUUUUGGUUCGGAACAACACAGGGAAACUUGUGCUAAUACCGGAUAAGCCCUUACGGGGAAAGAUUUAUCGCCGAAAGAUUGGCCCGCGUCUGAUUAGCUAGUUGGUGAGGUAACGGCUCACCAAGGCGACGAUCAGUAGCUGGUCUGAGAGGAUGAUCAGCCACAUUGGGACUGAGACACGGCCCAAACUCCUACGGGAGGCAGCAGUGGGAAUAUUGGACAAUGGGCGCAAGCCUGAUCCAGCCAUGCCGCGUGAGUGAUGAAGGCCCUAGGGUUGUAAAGCUCUUUUGUGCGGGAAGAUAAUGACGGUACCGCAAGAAUAAGCCCCGGCUAACUUCGCGCCAGCAGCCGC
rnacentral:rRNA from 1 species